rnacentral:rRNA from 2 species
AAAAGAAAAAUAACAAUGAUUUCCCUAGUAACGGCGAGUGAAGAGGAAAGAGCUCAAAGUUGGAACCUGUUUGGCCUAGCUAAACCGGAUUGUAGACUGUAGAAGUGUUUUCCAGGCAAGCCGAGUAAAUAAGUCCUUUGGAACAGGGCAUCAUAGAGGGUGAGAAUCCCGUCUUUGGCUUGAGCAUUUGCCUUUUGUGAUACGCUUUCAAAGAGUCAGGUUGUUUGGGAAUGCAGCCUAAAUUGGGUGGUAAAUCUCACCUAAAGCUAAAUAUUGGCGAGAAACCGAUAGCGAACAAGUACCGUGAGGGAAAGAUGAAAAGAACUUUGAAAAGAGAGUUAAACAGUAUGUGAAAUUGUUAAAAGGGAACCGUUUGGAGCCAGACUGGCUUGUCUGUAAUCAAUCUAGGCUUCGGCCUGGAUGCACUUGCAGGCUAUGCCUGCCAACGACAAUUUGACUUGAGGGAAAAAACUAAGGGAAAUGUGGCCCACUUGUGGGUGUUAUAGUCCCUUAGAAAAUACCUUGGGUUGGAUUGAGGAACGCAGCGAAUGCUUUUUGGCGAGUUUUCCAGGAAGGUUUUCUGAGGUACUACGGUAUCAAAGGUUGACCUUUUGGUUAUACUUCUAUUCGCUUAGGUUGUUGGCUUAUGACUCUAAAUGACCCGUCUUGAACACGGACCA